rnacentral:rRNA from 1 species
CAACUUUCAGCAACGGAUCUCUUGGCUCUCGCAUCGAUGAAGAACGCAGCGAAAUGCGAUAAGUAAUGUGAAUUGCAGAAUUCAGUGAAUCAUCGAAUCUUUGAACGCAC